rnacentral:tmRNA from 1 species
GGGGGUGUACCGGCUUCGACGGGGGACCUACCGAGACUGAGAAGCGUGCCCGCGUUCGUCGGCGGUUUCAGGCGAAAAAUCACAGUUGCAGAACCUCAACUGAAAAUGGCGGCUUAGGCCGCCCCGAGACCCGACUGCCUUUGUCACGGGCGCGGGAUCUCGGACGUUUCGUGACAUGCGGAUCUUGGUCGUCGUUGGUACGCCAGGGCCAAAGGCUUUGUGCCAACUGGCCGGCUUCCAGGGUGCUCGAUGCUCGGGAUUCCAGCGAGAGAAAUCAUCGAGAUGCGCACGGAGAAGCUCGUCAAGGUGUUGCCUCGGACAGGGGUUCGACUCCCCUCACCUCCACCA